CACAGAAACUGUCAGGUGUGUGUGUGAAACUUUCUCUUUAUCCUGCUCCAGAGUCAGCUCCAAAGCUCCUGCCACUUCCAGAGCCAGAGCCAGUGCCAGCCCCCGGGCUGGAGCCAGCUGCACCUCCAGUCUCACCANUCUGAGAGUCAGACAGUCACACUUGACAUCAUUCACAGGUCCCAUCUACCCUCCAUCCCGGGCAAUGCCCUCAUCCCCUUUGGGACACAUGGAGGCAGCUUGGCCCAUUGCGUGCGGGAUGCUGGAGGACAGGACCACCUCCCAAAUGCUAUCUAUUUCCUGCUGGGAACCUGGCUGGGCCAAGGGCAGGAUUGCAG
rnacentral:lncRNA from 1 species